GAUGAACGCUGGCGGCGUGCCUAACACAUGCAAGUCGAGCGAGGGUUUGCUCAGUAUUGAGUAUUCUAAGACUAGAAUGUUCAAUUCUGAGCAAAACCAAGCGGCGGACGGGUGAGUAACGCGUGGAUAACCUGCCUUAUACAGGGGGAUAACGGAGAGAAAUUUCCGCUAACACCGCAUAAGACCACAGCACCGCAUGGUGCAGGGGUAAAAUAUUUAUAGGUAUAGGAUGGAUCCGCGUCCGAUUAGCUAGUUGGUGAGGUAAAGGCCCACCAAGGCGACGAUCGGUAGCCGGCCUGAGAGGGUGAACGGCCACAUUGGGACUGAGAUACGGACCAGACUCCUACGGGAGGCAGCAGUGAGGAAUAUUGGACAAUGGUCGGAAGACUGAUCCAGCCAUGCCGCGUGCAGGAUGAAGGUCCUAUGGAUUGUAAACUGCUUUUGUAAGGGAAGAAUAAGGAGUACGUGUACUUUGAUGACGGUACCUUACGAAUAAGCAUCGGCUAACUCCGUGCCAGCAGCCGCGGUAAUACGGAGGAUGCGAGCGUUAUCCGGAAUCAUUGGGUUUAAAGGGUCCGUAGGCGGGCUGAUAAGUCAGAGGUGAAAGCGCUUAGCUCAACUAAGCAACUGCCUUUGAAACUGUCAGUCUUGAAUGAUUGUGAAGUAGUUGGAAUGUGUAGUGUAGCGGUGAAAUGCUUAGAUAUUACACAGAACACCGAUAGCGAAGGCAUAUUACUAACAAUUUAUUGACGCUGAUGGACGAAAGCGUGGGGAGCGAACAGG
rnacentral:rRNA from 1 species